rnacentral:lncRNA from 1 species
ACUGGAAUUGCCAUUUAUAUCCUCAAUCAAGAGUAGGGAGGAUGCAUGCAUGUUCUUAUACAGGACAGGACACAAACCCAGCUAAUAGUCUUCCCAUACUGAUUUAGGCAAUCAGGACACCCCCCUACUCGCACACACACCUGCUGUGAGGAGCUACUAUGAGGCCAGCACCCGCAGUCUGUGAGGCUGUGCCAACUUGGAGUGUCUGCCUCAGUACUGUGUCUGCAGACUCACUGGUAACCACAGGCUUGCUGGGCCGCCGAACAGAGAUGAGGACUCAGGCUUGGCACUGUGGGCUCAUGUGAGUGGGAGCUCAGUGAACAAGACCCAGGCUAGUCAGGAUGGUCAGGUGACAGGCAGUCAUUUGCUUGAAUGGAAGGGAAGAUUUAGGGACAGUGAAUGGGGUCCUUGGAGUCCAGGGAAGCUAAGAGUUACCUGGAUAUAAUUUUUCUGGGUACUUCUGGACACUGUGGCAUAAUACUCAGCUUAGCUAGAGCUCUGGAGAGAGCAAAGUGUUGGUGACUGAAGAGAAGGAGUCUCUAAUAGGAAGUCAGUGUGUCUUCCGAGAAGGGAAGUGAGGUGCUGGGGCAGUUGGUCAGAUCAGGAGCUCUGUGCACACCAGAGUCCAGGCUCAUCCAGGGCAGAGAAGCCACCCAGGGAAGGGGCCCUACAGGGCCCACCCUUGUUGCAGUGGGUUCUCCUCUGCACUGAACUCAGGACGUCUCCUGACGUGGAAAUUUCUAGUUCUUGGGAAAGUUAGUUAUGCCACAUGAUGUUUUGCUGGGCCACUCAGGUAAAAGGAUGUCUUGCUAAAGCAAACACACGAAAGAAGGCUUUCCUGAAGCAGUCACAGGUGAAAGGUUGUUUGGAUAUGGCAAACACGUGAAAGGACGCUUGAUGAAGGAGUAUAAAUAUGACCUCACGGACAGUGGGGGACGAGCACUGAGCAUUGAUUUGCUUUGCUCUGCCUCGCUAUUCUCUGGUAACAAUACACAUGUAUUAGUUUGCCUUACAUAGCAUUGUUAAGCUCAACUUGUGGUAAUGCUGGCAUUGAGAGAAACUCGCCCAAGAACUGCUUGUGAGGUUGCUGCCGCAGCUUGCCACUUCAGAGGCCUCACCUCAGGACGGCUGGCGAGCCUGGCUGUUUCUUCAGGGUUGAACUACAGCUGCCUGGUGUCUGCUUGCUGAAAGGACUGGAUUGUUAUGGCUGGUUCCUGUCUGGUUUCUGCUUGCCUAGAGGACUAAUCUGCAGCUGCUGAGUCAUGUUUGGUGUUUGCUAAAGGACUGAACUGCUGCCAAAACAGAUCGAGCUCUCCCCCAAAGAACAAUUGCUGAACAGGUCCACUUCCCCCAUAUCCUAAUAACUUUUCAGUUCUAUUACCUCUGCUGGGGGGCGGGGGGUGACUAGAGGAGAGGAUGAACCCUCAUUAAAAGUAGGUUGCAAAAAAAUAUAUGCCUACAGUCUCCUACUGUGCAAGCAAGCUACACUGUCUGCUUCCGGCUAGAACAGGAUACCUAGGGGCCAGAUGUUCUGUAAGUUCCUCCUCAGGGGUGCACCUGAUCCUGCCUUCCUGUCUGAGGCAGAAGGGUGUUUUAUUCUCAGCACUGGGGACAUUCUAAGCCCCACCAUCCUUUGUUGCUUGGGGACAGUCAGGGACCAGUCAGUGUUCUGUGCUGUUUCCAUCAGGGUCCCUACCCUACGCCCACACUAGGCCGGCUACACUCCUCAGUGGUGAUACCCAGAAGUUCCCUGGGUGUGACCUAGUGUCCUUGGCCCUUCCACUAGGCCUC